rnacentral:lncRNA from 1 species
UUUUCAUUAAAGCCAAAAGGCUGCUUUAAGAUUUGCUGUGGCUUUCUCCUUUUAAGACAAGUACGCAUUUCUGAAGAAAAUAUGCCUUUACAAAACUCAACGCCAGCUUACCAAGCUGUGUGUAUCUUAAUAAGUGGCAUCGUUUUGAAGACGUGCUUUGAAGAGUCUAGAUAUUAAGACGCAAGAUUUAAAGAAUCCACAGAACUUAUUUUCAGAGCACAUUUACAUGUCUUUUAAACCGAUUUUUUUUAUUAUGACGUGUCCAAGACAUUUAGCACCAUUUAAGAGGAGCAGCGCUGAAACACAGAAUUGAAAUUGCUUGAUAACACAUCUGCAUUUUAAACUUUAAGCUCGCUUUCAAAUACACUGUACCAUCCGUGUUUACUAUAAAUACAGAGAGGGAAUCAGCCACCCUGUUUUCUGGCAGAGCAUCUGGGAUUCACCGGGGCUGGCUUCUCCUGGUAUUCUGUCCCCUGCUGUCUCUCUGACUGUUGGCUAGUGGAGUUCCAAAGAAUAAAGGGGCCCUUGGACCCUCUGCCAUCACACGGGAGGGCAACAGAGAGGCUCCCAUCAGCUGACCAACCAAGGCUUUCCUUCUUCAGACUAGAGAGCUGCCAGAGGCAGAGGGCGGCUCCCAGGAGAGGUGUGAGGGACCCAGGAGCUGGGGAAAUGCCCCGGGUGGCAGAUGCCACUUCCACACUCGUCAUCUUUCCUCCUGGCCAUCGCUGGAAACCUGGGGACUCUGGAUGCGGAGGGAUAAUAUGCCAAAGCCAGUGUCAGCAUCUAGGGUGCAGAGACUCUAAUUCUCCUUCUCCCUGCUCUGCACCCCGCCUGUCCUGCUCUUUCACAACAUUUUCAAAUAUGUAAGCUACAUGAAAUCAAUGCAUCUUCCUGUUCCUCAAUGAAGUCUGCCCAGGACCAGAAAAGGAUGCCUUAUAACCAUUACAGUUACAAAGUAUAUUAAAAUUAAAGACUUCACAUUGUGUUUGAAAUAAAAAUGAAUAUAGUGGCA